GUGGGGAAUCUUGCGCAAUGGGCGAAAGCCUGACGCAGCCAUGCCGCGUGAAUGAUGAAGGUCUUAGGAUUGUAAACUUCUUUUACCAGGGACGAAACAAAUGACGGUACCUGGUGAAUAAGCCACGGCUAACUACGUGCCAGCAGCCGCGGUAAUACGUAGGUGGCGAGCGUUAUCCGGAUUUAUUGGGUGUAAAGGGCGUGUAGGCGGGACAGCAAGUCAGAUGUGAAAACCAGAGGCUCAACCUCUGGCCUGCAUUUGAAACUGUUGUUCUUGAGUGUCGGAGAGGUAAUCGGAAUUCCGUGUGUAGCGGUGAAAUGCGUAGAUAUACGGAGGAACACCAGUGGCGAAGGCGGAUUACUGGACGAUAACUGACGCUGAGGCGCGAAAGCGUGGGGAGCAAACAGGAUUAGAAACCCUUGUAGUCC
rnacentral:rRNA from 1 species